GAAAUUCUCGAUUUGGCAUCCCCUAAAAUUCGCUGGGUAUAAAUACCUCACGAAUCCCAACCAUCGACUCAGUCCGGGAUCAGCAGCUGAAUCAAGAUGAAGCUUCACUUUCUUCUCGGUAUUCUAUUGUCGACGGUAAUCAUGUUGGCGGAAGCGAAAAAUGGGCUGACCAAUCGGAGAGGCAAUAAAGAACACAUGGACA